rnacentral:rRNA from 1 species
CAGCAGCCGCGGUAAUACGGAGGGGGCUAGCGUUGUUCGGAAUUACUGGGCGUAAAGCGCACGUAGGCGGCUUGGUAAGUUAGAGGUGAAAGCCUGGAGCUCAACUCCAGAAUUGCCUUUAAGACUGCCGAGCUAGCAGGUGAGAGAGGUAAGUGGAAUUCCGAGUGUAGAGGUGAAAUUCGUAGAUAUUCGGAAGAACACCAGUGGCGAAGGCGGCUUACUGGCUCAUACUGGACGCUGAGGUGCGAAAGCGUGGGGAGCAAACAGGAUUAGAUACCCGUGUAGUCCCUGUCUCUUAUAC